UAUGGCCACAUCAUGUUGAACUACAGGUUCACCUACGAUCAUCGAAGUUAAGAAACGUUGAGCCUGGUCAGUACCUAGAUGGGUGACCACUUGGAGAUACCAGGUACUGUCAG